rnacentral:lncRNA from 1 species
AUGGGAGGAGGAAGAGGUCCUUCUCUCUCUAUAAGGACUUUAUCCCGCAUGGCCUCCCCCUCCCCAAUUUUUAAACACUUAGAAUCCACUGAGGGUAUGAUUUAUGAGAGCCCUUCCCACAAUGAUGCAUGGGAACUUCCUGUAAGUGUCUGUCAUACUUUGUUAGAGAAAUGUCUGAAAAAUCGAGUGGUGAGAAGAUGGUCAGAGAUUGUCUUCUGCACUCAGGAAUAUACCUGGAGAAAACACUUGAAACCACGUGGGAUAAAGCUGUCAUAGAAUCAUAGAAUCCUAGAAUAGUAUAGUUGGAAGAGACCUGAGGUCUCUUCCAACUCUACUAUUCUAUGAUUCUAUGAUUCUAUAGGGCUUGGCUUCCUGACUGUAUUUCAUUUUGGCUGCAUUCCUCUGGACAUAUUCCAAUUUGGGCAUUUGUUGGAGCUGAGUAGGCUUCUUCUGCUGUUGAGAAGUGGUCCAGGUUGCAGUGAUGAUAAAAAAAAGUGUUGUAGCAUAGCAUUUCUUGCUGGCAGGCAUGGCUUGGUGGGCAAAGUAUAGUGUCACGCUUACUUCAAACGACCCGCAUGAACGCAAACCAAAGGUAGCUGCUGUCAAACAGAGUCUUUAUUGAAGAACACACGACUUGGGAAAGUCGAGAAUGACAUAAUGUUUACACACAAUCUUCUUUAUUACCUUCGUUACAACGUCACACCACACGUAAAUAUCAUCACCUAAGCCCCACCCCAAGUAUCAUUAUCAUCACUACAAAACAAACUACUCAUUAAAAUUGUUUUGAUUCUCUCUCCAGAAUUUCCCAUGCUUUGCUGCCAGGUGUCCGUAGGAGCUAUAGAGGAGUGCGAAUUGUUAUGGCUCCGAUUCAAGAGCUUGCAAACUCAGCUCUUGGAAUCGGUCCCAUGACAUGGUGCUU